rnacentral:rRNA from 1 species
GAUGAACGCUGGCGGCGUGCCUAAUACAUGCAAGUCGAGCGAACAGAUGAGGAGCUUGCUCCUCUGACGUUAGCGGCGGACGGGUGAGUAACACGUGGAUAACCUACCUAUAAGACUGGGAUAACUUCGGGAAACCGGAGCUAAUACUGGAUAAUAUAUUGAACCGCAUGGUUCAAUAGUGAAAGACGGUUUUGCUGUCACUUAUAGAUGGAUCCGCGCCGCAUUAGCUAGUUGGUAAGGUAACGGCUUACCAAGGCAACGAUGCGUAGCCGACCUGAGAGGGUGAUCGGCCACACUGGAACUGAGACACGGUCCAGACUCCUACGGGAGGCAGCAGUAGGGAAUCUUCCGCAAUGGGCGAAAGCCAGACGGAGCAACGCCGCGUGAGUGAUGAAGGUCUUCGGAUCGUAAAACUCUGUUAUUAGGGAAGAACAAAUGUGUAAGUAACUAUGCACGUCUUGACGGUACCUAAUCAGAAAGCCACGGCUAACUACGUG